GAUGAACGCUGGCGGCGUGCCUAAUACAUGCAAGUCGAGCGAACAGACGAGGAGCUUGCUCCUCUGACGUUAGCGGCGGACGGGUGAGUAACACGUGGAUAACCUACCUAUAAGACUGGGAUAACUUCGGGAAACCGGAGCUAAUACCGGAGAAUAUAUUGAACCGCAUGGUUCAAUAGUGAAAGACGGUUUUGCUGUCACUUAUAGAUGGAUCCGCGCCGCAUUAGCUAGUUGGUAAGGUAACGGCUAACCAAGGCAACGAUGCGUAGCCGACCUGAGAGGGUGAUCAGCCACACUGGAACUGAGACACGGUCCAGACUCCUACGGGAGGCAGCAGUAGGGAAUCUUCCGCAAUGGGCGAAAGCCUGACGGAGCAACGCCGCGUGAGUGAUGAAGGUCUUCGGAUCGUAAAACCCUGUUAUUAGGGAAGAACAAAUGUGUAAGUAACUAUGCACGUCUUGACGGUACCUAAUCAGAAAGCCCCGGCUAACUACGUG
rnacentral:rRNA from 1 species